UUGAUCACAACCAGUUACAGAUUUCUUUGU
rnacentral:piRNA from 3 species